UGCCGAAGUUUUCCUCGGAAGUUAACUGCAGUCGAUUUCGUAUUUCCUCGGCAGUUAACUACCGAGAAGUAU
rnacentral:pre_miRNA from 1 species